rnacentral:rRNA from 1 species
UACGUAGGUGGCAAGCGUUGUCCGGAAUUACUGGGCGUAAAGGGCGUGUCGGCGGGGCGGCAAGUCAGAUGUGAAAUCCCAUGGCUUAACUGUGGAGCUGCAUCUGAAACUGUCGUUCUUGAGUGUCGGAGAGGAAAGUGGAAUUCCCAGUGUAGCGGUGAAAUGCGUAGAGAUUGGGAGGAACACCAGUGGCGAAGGCGGCUUUCUGGACGAUAACUGACGCUGAGGCGCGAAAGCGUGGGGAGCAAACAGG